rnacentral:rRNA from 1 species
UACAGAGGUCCCGAGCGUUGUUCGGAUUUAUUGGGCGUAAAGGGUGCGUAGGUGGCAAAGUAAGUUGGAUGUGAAAUCCUGGGGCUUAACCUCAGAAUUGCAUUCAAUACUGCUUAGCUAGAGAGCUGUAGAGGAGACUGGAAUUUACGGUGUAGCAGUGAAAUGCGUAGAUAUCGUAAGGAACGUCAAUGGCGAAGGCAGCCACCUGGCUUAAUACUGACGCUGAGGCGCGAAAGCGUGGGGAUCGAACAGG